UAUUCGCUGUAGUUCGCCUUAUCUUUAUCACAGAAAUAAUUGAACAAAAACAUUCGAUUGCGGGCAAAGUCUAGCCAACAGUCAACAAAACAAAACGUCAAAUGAGCGAUUAGAAUAGGUCUAUGUUUGUACGGUUAUAUACGGGUUACGAGGAGAGUGAGAAAGCAAGAUAAUUUAUUAAUUAUAGGGCAGAAUGAAGGAAUUGGCGCUGCUUAGGUAACUGCGAUCAAAUCGCUGCCAAAUUUCAUAAUUUGCCAUUACGAUUACAGCCCAAUCGUCCGAGAGUCCUAACUCGAUGUUUAUUUAAAUGUUUUACGAGACAGUCGAUCGCCUAAUUACGUACUGAAGUUGAAGAAAAUUUGAAAUCAAUAUGGUCGCUCUCUAAUUAAUGGAGGUCUUUUACACUUUCGGCACUCCGCACAACGCAGCAUUCAUUCAUA